CUGGGAACCGGCUGAUGAGGCCUGGGUAGUUGUACUGAGAGCCAAAGCCUGAGUGUCAAUGACCUGUUCAGGUGCAGAGCAAGCAGGCCUGCACCGUGGGGAAUCAUGUGGUGCAGACCUGGGGUCAGAACACAGGGUGGACUUCGGGGAAGGGUUCACUGAUCACCCAGACCUGCUUAUCUGUGGAAACCUAGAAGGUGGAGAGGGAGGAGACAGUACCUAAGGAUCCAGGUUGUGAUGGUUUGUAUAUGGUUGGCCCAGGGAGUGGCAUUUUUUGGAGGUGUGGCCUUCUUGAUGUAGGUAUGCCACUAUAGGCUUGGGCUUUAAAACCUUCAUCAUAGCUGCCUGGAAGCCAGUCUUCUAGCUACGUUCAGAUGAAGAGAAGAACUCUUAGAUCCUCUUGCACGAUGCCUGCCUGGACACUGUCAAACCCCCACCUUGAUGAUAAUGAACUGAACUUCUGAACCUGUAAGCCAGCCCCAACUAAAUAUCCUUUUAAGGGUUGUGUUGGUCAUGGUAUCUGUUUAUAGCAGUAAAACCCUAACUAAGACAGAAGUCAUACUGUCCCUCCUCCAUAAUUAAAUCUAUUCCACCAUUCUUCCAUUUUUCCUCUUUAGAUCCUUUAGUUCCCUGUUAUUCCCCUUUCUAUUAUUCCCCCACAUUCCACAAUGAUCUGCUUUUAGUUUUCUGGUUACUGCAGGUACUCCAGGUUGUGAACUCACAUCAGAAGUUUUGGAUCUAGAAACUUCCUAUGAGAGAGAAGAUGCAAUGCCUGUCUUUCUGGUUCUGGGUUACUCCACUGACUGUGAUCUUUUAUUAGGCCACCUAUUUACCUGCAACACUCCUGACUUUAAUUUUCUUUACAGCUUAAUAAUAUUCCAUAGUGUAUAUGCACCACAUUUCCACUCUCCAUUUGUCCAUUGAAGGCCAUUUAAAUUGUUCCCCUUUUUAAAGCUAUUGUGAGUAGAGCAGCAGUGAACAUCUGUGGAGUAGGACAUUGAUUCCCUUGAACACAUGCAAAGGAGUAGAAGAGCUGUGUCACAUGCUAGAUUUAUUUAACUUGAGGAUUUGUUUAUUUAACUGGUUUGUCCAUAUUGAUACCCACAGUGGCUACAUUUUUUGUUCAUGGGAGUUUUAUUCCUCAUGCUUAUUGUUGUUUAUUAUUUAUUUAUGUUGUUGGUAGGAUUAUGGGUGCUAUUAUUCUUUCUCUGUGAGAACUAGUAUUUUUGCUGUUUUGCUUAUGGAUGAUUACUUCUUAGUUCUCC
rnacentral:lncRNA from 1 species